AAAUAGUGAGUUCAAGUUGACUUAAUUAAUAUUAUUUGGAACUGACCUUUUAUUAAUUUGGACAUUUUGGUAACACUAAUAAUGGGUCAAUAGCUUCGGUAGAACAAAUAUUAAAAGUUAGUGCCACUUGAGAUAUUUGUUACUACCACUUCACCACUUUCUAACCACACAAAUAAGCAUGGCCACUUGUUAGUAACCUUGACCCACUCACCACUGUCGCAUCUCGAAAAAUACGAUUUCUCGCGAUGGUCGCGGAAAAAUUAUGUUCGAAC
rnacentral:lncRNA from 1 species